rnacentral:rRNA from 1 species
GACGAACGCUGGCGGCGUGCCUAAUACAUGCAAGUCGAGCGAGCUGAAUUCAAAGAUUCCUUCGGGAUGAUUUGUUGGACGCUAGCGGCGGAUGGGUGAGGAACACGUGGGCAAUCUGCCCUAAAGACUGGGAUACCACUUGGAAACAGGUGCUAAUACCGGAUAACAACAUGAAUCGCAUGAUUCAAGUUUGAAAGGCGGCGCAAGCUGUCACUUUAGGAUGAGCCCGCGGCGCAUUAGCUAGUUGGUGGGGUAACGGCCUACCAAGGCGACGAUGCGUAGUCGACCUGAGAGGGUGAUCGGCCACAUUGGGACUGAGACACGGCCCAG